CAAUUUAAAGCUUAUCUAGUAAAGUAUUUCAUUUACAUUGAAAUGAUAAUUGUGCAAAUCAAUUUAAAUUGA
rnacentral:tRNA from 1 species